CACCCCUGUGCACUAGCCCAAAGAGGAGGCCGGCCCUUGAAACCAAAUGCUAAGCCUGGCCGGCACCUUUCCAUGUGCCUCAACUUAGCCCUCUGGGUACCGAAUGCACUGCUGGCAGAUCUGUUUCUGGAGCAUCCUGAUCUGUCCUGGCUUCUUAUUGGCAUUUAUUCCGAUGCCACCCACGUAGAACUCCAAAUGUGGAUCCAAGGACUGCUGAGCUGUGAACACUCUAUUUGUGUAAUUCUGCCAGUGACCACCCUUAAACCUCAGAAGAAUCAAAGGAAAGCAAAGAUAUGCUGAAAUGUUAAGGAAAAAAAAAAGCCAACUUUGAGGACACUUACAAGAAUGUGAGUUCUAUACGGCGCCCUGUCAAACUGGGGUCUUAGGGGUCAGGACCACCAAUGUACAGUUUUUAACUGUCAGGACUUCUGGGUAUGAUCUGUGGCAAAGUUGUACAUGUGUAUGUACCAGCCUGCCCAAUGCUUCACACAGAAAUUAAGACUAACCACAGCUGAAAGAGGAAACCCCCGUUUGGCACAAAGAAUAGGUGAAUUGUAAGCCCUGAGCCAAAAUACCUUCUUUUACCUUC